rnacentral:rRNA from 1 species
UUACUAGCUAGUUGGUGAGGUAAAGGCUCACCAAGGCGACGAUCCGUAGCUGGUCUGAGAGGACGACCAGUCACACUGGAACUGAGACACGGUCCAGACUCCUACGGGAGGCAGCAGUGGGGAAUUUUGGACAAUGGGGGCAACCCUGAUCCAGCCAUUCCGCGUGAGUGAAGAAGGCCUUCGGGUUGUAAAGCUUUUUCAGCAGGAACGAAACGGCUCUCUCUAACAUAGGGAGUUAAUGACGGUACCUGAAGAAGAAGCACCGGCUAACUACGUGCCAGCAGCCGCGGUAAUACGUAGGGUGCGAGCGUUAAUCGGAAUUACUGGGCGUAAAGCGUGCGCAGGCGGCGCCAUAAGACAGAUGUGAAAUCCCCGGGCUUAACCUGGGAACUGCGUUUGUGACUGUGGUGCUCGAGUGUGGCAGAGGGGGGUGGAAUUCCACGUGUAGCAGUGAAAUGCGUAGAGAUGUGGAGGAACACCGAUGGCGAAGGCAGCCCCCUGGGUCAACACUGACGCUCAUGCACGAAAGCGUGGGGAGCAAACAGGAUUAGAUACCCUGGUAGUCUACGCCCUAAACGAUGCGAACUAGGUGUUGGGGAAGGAGACUUUCUUAGUACCGCAGCUAACGCGUGAAGUUCGCCGCCUGGGGAGUACGGUCGCAAGAUUAAAACUCAAAGGAAUUGACGGGGACCCGCACAAGCGGUGGAUGAUGUGGAUUAAUUCGAUGCAACGCGAAAAACCUUACCUACCCUUGACAUGCCAGGAAGUCCGCUGAGAAGUGGAUGUGCCCGAAAGGGAACCUGGACACAGGUGCUGCAUGGCUGUCGUCAGCUCGUGUCGUGAGAUGUUGGGUUAAGUCCCGCAACGAGCGCAACCCUUGUCAUUAAUUGCCAUCAUUCAGUUGGGCACUUUAAUGAGACUGCCGGUGACAAACCGGAGGAAGGUGGGGAUGACGUCAAGUCCUCAUGGCCCUUAUGGGUAGGGCUUCACACGUCAUACAAUGGUCGGUACAGAGGGUUGCCAACCCGCGAGGGGGAGCCAAUCCCACAAAGCCGAUCGUAGUCCGGAUCGCAGUCUGCAACUCGACUGCGUGAAGUCGGAAUCGCUAGUAAUCGUGGAUCAGCAUGUCACGGUGAAUACGUUCCCGGGUCUUGUACACACCGCCCGUCACACCAUGGGAGUGGGUUCCACCAGAAGUAGGUAGUCUAACCGCAAGGAGGGCGCUUACCACGGUGGGAUUCAUGACUGGGGUGAAGUCGUAACAAGGUA